rnacentral:lncRNA from 1 species
AGGGAGCAUGGCCUCUGUGCCUGCAUAAUAGAAUUUUUAAUGAUGAGCAUGAUUUUGGAACACUAUUAACUGAAGUUUCCACAAUGACAUCUGCAAAAACAUCCUUACUUACUGUCUGCUAUUAAAUCCAUCUCAAUGUCCACUGAGCUGCAAGGAAGCACAAUUCAUUGCCAAACUAAGCAAGUCAUUCCCAAAACUGGAGGCUCAAGUACCAACUAAAACAACAGCUUAUGUGUUGUAUGUAGAAGGCAAGAUUGUUAUGAAGUUGUGCACAUGCCAAUUGGGGGCAAUGCAACCAUCCAUGUUAGCAUUGUUACCAGGACAUCUGUGUACAACCAUGAGCAGAAAUUGUGAAUUGUGAAGUAUGAUAGAACAUGCUUGAAACAUAUUAGUCUUAUGUUCAUUUACCUCUGAAACAAGUGUGCAAUUAAGUAUUCUAAUGAUGAUCAGAUCUCUCAUUUCUUAAUAUAUUCUUCUAAUACAUUAGAUACUUCAUAACCACUUUAACAAAAAUUAAAGUAUUCUCCUUGUUGGAAUUAGAAAUCCAAUAAUGGAAACCAUACUGAUUUGUCUAAAGAAUUAAC